rnacentral:SRP_RNA from 1 species
GCCAGGCAUGGUGGCGCAUGCCUGUAAUCCCAGCUACUCAGGAGGCUGAGGUAUGAGAAUCACUUGAACCCGGGGGACAGAGGUUGCAGUGAGCCAAGAUCACGCCACUGCACUCCAGCCUGGGUGACAGAGUGAGACUCCAUCUCAA